GCCCCCCUUUUUGUUACUUUGCGCCCCACAGUUUGAGAACCACUGGCUUAAGAUCAGUGAGUGUGCUGGGGAGUCAUGUGUAUGAAGAUAUAAACUGCCGUAAUCCAGGUGUGCAAAGCUUGUAGGGGCUUACUUAGCAAAGAAGACUCGGAGCUGGAACUGCUGCCAGAGGAGCUUCUGCUCGACUCUUUUUCAGGUCUGACUGCCUUGUAGUCACAGCUUGUGGGAUGAAUCAUAACAGGAUUGGCGUCUUCCUCACAAGAAGUACUGGAGAGCUACAAGGACCUAAUGCAGUCAAAACAAAAGCACAAAAAAAUCCUGUUUUUUUCUUUUUCUCAAGUGCCCCUCCCAUUAUUUAGGGUGGGCAUCAUAAAAAUGAUAAACAGAAGCAGAUUCAAUCAGUGCCAAGAGAGACACUGGAGAUUUGAGGAAUCUAAUCUUUGAAGAGGCGAUUAAGACUCUUACAUCUGAUAAGGUGGCUCAGUCCCCCCCCCACUCCAUAGACAGUUGGGUGCCAAGAAGAUUCCCUGAAAGAGCCGGAAGCCGACGACUUGCUAAUGAAACUUGUUUCAUCAUCUGGCCGCUCCUCACGAGUAUUCAUUGUCUCCAGUCUCCCUGCCUCGAGCUCCAUCUUGUUCCCCUCUGUGCGCUAUGAACCGGCCAACAUGUCUCCUCUUCCUGCUCAUCCCGUAUGGCCAGCAGCCCAACCGUGUUAAAGGCUCAAAUCGACAACACCAAGUGGCACAUCAGGAGGGCGAGCCCGGCCACGUAAGAGUGACAUCAAGUGGCAAGGUAUACGAAUAUCAGCCUAUGGCACAAUAGAAGAUGAAGAAUUGCAUGAUUACAUAGAAAUUGGCGAGUUUGUGUGCAACGAGACAAUGCUGGAUGAAUACAUCUUGUUUUGUUGGGUGCCCUUCCAAGUCGUCAUGUCGAUGAUCAACACAAGCUCUUGUAACUGGAAUGAGGCAAUCAGGCCCUACGCCGAGCUGGUGAUGUGCACAAAGGAGGUCUCCUGGGACUCCGGCUGCGAUUAUCCAAACCCGCUGACUGAGGAGUUUUUCCUUCAGAUUCACACGGAGUACUUUUCAAACUGUUCCACUCAGGCGGUGAAUCUGGAGCCCCCAGAAACUGUGGUUAUGUUCCUGACCAUCACAUGCGUCUCUAUGGUCAUCUUCCUGAGUGGCUUUAUAACUUGGAAGAACAGCCGAAGGAACCUCACAUCAAAGGACACCAUGGUAUAUUUCGAAUUAAACCCCUGGACAGAAUCCCACUCGGUGAAGUGAUUCCUCCUCGCUGGAGUGGUUGGAGCAAACCUCCAUGUGAACUGGACAAAGAGAAAAGACCAACUGACCAACUGUCAGCUUCAACUUGCAAUCUUAAGAACCGCCAAAGGAAGACGCACAAUUUGAAGAUGGGGCAGCUUUGUAACCAACACGCAAUAGAGACAUCGACCUGCAAGAUGGACCAGAAAGCAACACUUUAGCUGGUGUGGUAAGGGGAGAGGAGUCAUUAUGGCCCAUAUAAAGAACAGAACUGGCUUUAUAUAUAACAUUAAAUGUGUGGGAGGGACGAUCAGAGGGAUAAAGCAAAACAAGAAAUAAACAAAUGACCUGCUGCUUUUUCUGCAUAAUGUAGAAUUAUUACAGCCGUGUCUUACACCUGUCUAUCUGCCAUUGUCGUUC